UACAGAGGGUGCAAGCGUUAAUCGGAGUUACUGGGCGUAAAGGGCGCGUAGGCGGUGAUGUGGGUGUGAUGUGAAAGCCCUGGGCUUAACCUAGGAAGUGCAUCGCAAACUACAUGACUAGAGUAUAUGAGAGGGUGGCGGAAUUUCCGGUGUAGCGGUGAAAUGCGUAGAGAUCGGAAGGAACGUCAAUGGCGAAGGCAGCCGCCCGGCAUAAUAAUGACGCUGAGGCGCGAAAGCGCGGGGAGCGAACAGG
rnacentral:rRNA from 1 species